rnacentral:rRNA from 1 species
UACAGAGGUCUCAAGCGUUGUUCGGAUUCAUUGGGCGUAAAGGGUGCGUAGGUGGCGCCGUAAGUCGGGUGUGAAAUUUCGGAGCUCAACUCCGAAACUGCAUUCGAUACUGCGGUGCUUGAGGACUGGAGAGGAGACUGGAAUUCAUGGUGUAGCAGUGAAAUGCGUAGAGAUCCGGAAGAACACCGGUGGCGAAGGCGGCCUGCUGGGCAGUGGCUGACGCUGAUGCGCGACAGCGUGGGGAGCAAACAGG